rnacentral:rRNA from 1 species
AUUGAACGCUGGCGGCAUGCCUUACACAUGCAAGUCGAACGGCAGCGCGGGAGCAAUCCUGGCGGCGAGUGGCGAACGGGUGAGUAAUAUAUCGGAACGUGCCCAGUAGUGGGGGAUAGCCCGGCGAAAGCCGGAUUAAUACCGCAUGAGACCUGAGGGUGAAAGCGGGGGAUCGCAAGACCUCGCGCUAUUGGAGCGGCCGAUAUCAGAUUAGCUAGUUGGUGGGGUAAAGGCCUACCAAGGCAACGAUCUGUAGUUGGUCUGAGAGGAUGAUCCGCCACACUGGGACUGAGACACGGCCCAGACUCCUACGGGAGGCAGCAGUGGGGAAUUUUGGACAAUGGGGGCAACCCUGAUCCAGCCAUGCCGCGUGAGUGAAGAAGG